CCUACGGGAGGCAGCAGUCGAGAAUCAUUCUCAAUGGGGGAAACCCUGAUGGUGCGACGCCGCGUGGGGGAAUGAAGGUCUUCGGAUUGUAAACCCCUGUCAUGUGGGAGCAAAUUAAAAAGAUAGUACCACAUGAGGACGAGACGGCUAACUCUGUGCCAGCAGCCGCGGUAAUACAGAGGUCUCAAGCGUUGUUCGGAAUCACUGGGCGUAAAGCGUGCGUAGGCUGUUUCGUAAGUCGUGUGUGAAAGGCGCGGGCUCAACCCGCGGACGGCACAUGAUACUGCGAGACUAGAGUAAUGGAGGGGGACCCGGAAUUCUCGGUGUAGCAGUGAAAUGCGUAGAUAUCGAGAGGAACACUCGUGGCGAAGGCGGGUUCCUGGACAUUAACUGACGCUGAGGCACGAAGGCCAGGGGAGCGAAAGGGAUUAGAUACCCCUGUAGUC
rnacentral:rRNA from 1 species